CCCCGGUUCCGCCUCGCCGGCGUGUCGGCGGCGUUACAGGUCCCCGCCUUCGCCGGUUAUGCCGCUCCGCCACAAACAGGCCGCCGGCAUGCAGGAGUACGAACCCGAGCUGGAGGGCGACACGCAGGGGUGGCCGUAGUGGUUCGAAGGGUCGGCGCAGGCGCAGCCGAGGCUCCUACAGGGCUAAACUGUCCCUCGUCGUGUACCUACAGCUAAAAAACCGUGGAGACGAGAGUACUUUGAUCAUACCUAUCCAAGUCCGUGUGGAAACGAGCAAAAGUCGUACUCCUCCUUCUUCUACUAAAUUAAAGAAA
rnacentral:rRNA from 1 species